CCAAAUCCCUAACCCUAACCCUAAUCUCCAUUUUCCUCCUCCUCAACCACUCCUCCUCGUUCGUCGACGGUGGCGCCGGCGAUAUCCUCGCCGAGCUAAUUCACCUCCGAUCACAAUCUCCCACCGCCGCAAUCCACCUCUCCGACCACCUCCUCCGCCGUAUCCUCUCCCUCGAUACCCCCCGUCCCUUCUCCUUCCUCAUCUUCUUCGACGCUAAACAGCUGCAUUCCAAACCUGAACUAUCCCUCCCAACUCUCAAAUCCGAAUUCUCCCUCUUAUCCUCUUCCUUCCUCACCAACAACCCGGAAGUCAACAACAAUUUCUUCUUCUUCACUAUCGAAUUCUCCGAAUCGCAGAACUCAUUCGCUUUAUUCGGGGUUAAUUCGCUACCCCAUUUACGUUUAAUUCCAAAUUCAGCUACUGAUUUAAAGAAAGAUUCGAUUCAAAUGGACGGUUCUGAUUUAGCGAGGUUAGCUGAAUCGAUGGCGGAGUUUGUAGAAGCUAAAGGGAAGGUUAAUGUAGGUCCAAUUCAUAGACCACCAAUGAUUUCGAAGAAGCAAAUGAGUGUUAUUGUUGUUGUUGGAUUAGCAUUGAGUCCAUUUUUGUUGAAAAAGAUUGUUUCAGGUGACACCCUUUUGCAUGAUAAGUAUGUAUGGAUGUUGGGUUCGAUAUUCGUUUACUUUUUCAGUGUUUCGGGUGCAAUGCAUAAUAUAAUUAGGAAAAUGCCGAUGUUUAUGAUGGAUAGAGAGGAUCCGGGGAAGUUGGUUUUCUUUUAUCAAGGUUCGGGGAUGCAGUUGGGAGCUGAGGGUUUCGCGGUUGGGUUUUUGUAUACGAUCGUGGGUUUGUUGUUGGCUUUUAUGACGAAUGUUCUUGUUCGUGUAAAGAGUAGGACUUUGCAAAGGGUGGUGAUGAUUACUGCGCUGUUUGUUUCGUUCUGGGCUGUGAAGAAAGUGAUUCAAUUGGAUAAUUGGAAGACAGGGUAUGGUGUUCAUGCUUAUUGGCCUUCGAGUUGGUAACUGAUGGCAAUGUCGUUAGGUAAGGGAAUUUGUAACAGCUUAUACUACAUGUCAGCUAGCUUAAUUUCGAACCUUAAGUAGUUGACGCGGAAAAGUUUUAGCUUUUCUCAAGAUGGAUAGAUUUUAUGAUGAUUUAUAUGGAAACAUUUAUGUUUUAAUUGAGGAUUUGAAAAUGGAUUAUGUACAAGUUGCACGUAUUUUGUAUCAAACUCUUUGCUUGGUUUAAUGUUCUUCUGGCAUUUAUCAAGUUUUGAAUUCCUUGCAUUUUCUCAUGUUAUUCUAUGUUGAUAUAUUAUGAGAAAUUGGUCUACCCGAACUUUGGUAAUGGUGGUACAGUGCUGGAUGUGUGAUAGAUGUCUAGGCCAACAUCAAUAGCUCGAAUAGACUAAGUCUUGUAUUUUAGCAGCAAAGGGCAGAGCUGUAGAGGUGUAGGGCCACAAUUGGCAGUUUCCAAGCUGAAUUAACAGUUUGUUGGUUAUAAGAAAAGAUGAAAAAUCAGCAAUUCGAUUGAGAAAUAAUUAAAGCUUUACUGAUUAAUAAGUUGAAAUGUUGGUGAUUACCACUUAGUAGGAUCGUUUUUUUCGUCUUCUCUGCUUUUGUGGCUAAAACAGCAUAUGGCCAGAUAAGGUUUAGUUAUUGUGUCAGCCACAGAGGUGUCGAACUUGGCCAUUACAUCCCUCUUGUUAUCUCCCAUAUAGACUUAAAAGUGGAUUUUAGGGUAACGUUGCUCAAGAGGUUCACCAACAUUCUAUGAGAUGAGAUAGUUGGACUAUAGAUUUCCUAUGACAACGAUAAGGAGCUUCAGAAAUAGUGGAAUAAUGGCUAAAAAUCUACACAAUGCCCUCAUGUUCCGUCUUAACCUAGCCAUAAUACACUUUGAUAUUGAUGGAGUUCUAUUUCUUGACAAAUUUACAAUACAUCAAUGAACUGAGAGAAGAUGCUUAUGUCUAAUAUGAGAGUAGACCAAAGAUCUGAGUUGGAUGGUAGUUGCAAGUAAGUUAUGAUAUCCUAGCUCAAUUGAUAUGGGAGCAUUAGAAGCUGAUGCUACUGUCUUUGGUGGUUUAAUAUGUCGCAUACCAGAGUAACUUCUGCUAUAUAAUGAGUUUGAAGGUGAAUAUUAGCGCAUUAACUGGUUAGAUCUGUUGAGCUUUGGAGACUGGAGCUCAAUGCUUACCCCAAAGUCAUCUUUUUUUUUUUCUCUUUUAGUUAGUUUGAAAGGUGUCAUGAGAGUCACCUUUCUACUUAUAAAAAAAGCAAGAAGGCGUAAUGACUCAUGACUACGAAGGGAAGGUAACAGCUAGAAAGAAAUAGGAGAAAAGAGAGAGUGACACACCCAAGGGUGCGACCUAGUGGUCAAUGAAGUGGUUUGAGCACCUUGCGGUCUUAGGUUCACUUCCCAACAGGUUCUAGCCUUGGUGGACUAUGUUACCUGAUACCUGUUGUUGGUGCGAGGUGGCAGGUAUCUCAUGAAACUAGUCUAGGUGCGCACAUAAGCUGUCCCAGACACCACGGUUAUCCCAAAAGAUAUGAAAAAAGAGUGGCUAAGAUAGAUUUUGGACAGUAAUGGCAUACCAUUUUCUGUUUGCUAAGCUGAUAAAGGAAAUUGUUCACGACUUCGGAUGAUAGUGGCUAAGUGUCAGCAAAGCUUAUAUAUAUAUGUAUAUAUAUAUUGAGACUGCACAAUAGGAAGAGAUGUAACUUAGCAAAAAAAGGAGAGAAAUAGAAGCCUGCAUAGCAUUUGAUGAUAUUGACGAUAGCAGGAGAAUUCGCCGCUGGUUAGGUUUCCUUUAAAAGCAUACAUGCCAAGAAAGAAUUCUCAGUUUGAUGAUGUUUCUUGAUGCUUAGGCGAAGGCCGUGAAAUUUACACUUGGAAGAAAGCAAUGAAAUAGGAAUCUAGAGUGAAACUGUGGUGUGAUAGUAUAUAUUCCAGUACUUUUAUCAACAAUUUGAGCAUGCAAUUUGAGGCAUGGUAUUAGAUGUUGGAAGUGAUUUCACUCUUUGUAAUUGGUUAAAUUUACUUGAUCUUAAAUGUCUUCCCUUGCUUAUAGAUUUAUUGCUGGGACUUCUGUGCUUUCAAAUGAAAUAUGUGAUCUCUUUAUUGUUUUCUGAGUAAAGCAUCACUUCCAACAUCUAAAUGAGCGUAUUUUUGUCGGCCGUUUUAGCUGACGUGACACCUUUUGCCAAACUUUUUAGCUGACAUGACACCUUUGACAUGGACCCUAUUUUAUGUAAUAAGGGUGUUAUGUUAGCGCAAAGGGGUGGCAAAAAUACGCUAAAAUUGAGUGAUCCUGUGAAGUUGGAGUGUGCCUUUUUAGCUGGCAUGACACCUUUUGCCAACCUUUUCAGCCGACUGGACAACUUUGAUGUGGGCCCCACUUUACGUAAUAAAGGUGUUACGUCAGCGCAAAAGGGUGACAAAAAUAUGCUAAAAUUGAGUUUAGAGGGGUUAAUAGGACCUCUAUGAAGUUGGGGUGUAUCGUAGCAACUUUGGCCAUAAUUCGAGGGGAUAUUGGAUGCUUAUCUCUUGUUUUUUCUUUUCUUUUUGGGUUGUGAAAGAUGUGAUCUCUUUAUAGAGGCGUGAGCUAGCGUCUAAGGCGGAAUAAUCUUCAAAAAGGACUGUGAUCAAAGAUCAAAGUUACUUGUUUGUGGCAUGCUUAAAUAACAUAAAUAUACAACUUACCAUGUUUACCCAAAUCCUCAUUUUUGCAAAGUAAUUACAAAAAUUUUAACUAAUUAUGUAUUUUUACUGGAUGUAUCGAAAGUUAAUUAUGUAUCUCGAUGGAUUUGAAAUCAAAAAAAAUAUAUUGGGAGCUAAUUAUGUUUCUUACAAAGAAAAAUAUAUUUUUGUUGGAUGUAUUAUGUAUUUUGACAGACUCAAAAUAAAAAAAAAAAUAUGUUGAGAGCUAAUUAUGUAUAUUUACAAAAUCAAGGUGACAUUAAUUAUUUUUUGAUAUCAAUUUUUACUUGUCUUAUCUUAAGCUUUUAAGAAGUGUUUUUCACAAAAUGCUAUACUAUUAAGAAACAGAACUUGCAAAAAGGCACGUAUUCUCCCAAGAAAUUUUAUUUAUAUAAUAAGGUGCUUCAGUUGUUGUAACUUGUUAUAUUUUCCAAUAAAAAUAAAUGAAACUAAGAUUCAAAUUGUAAUGAAGAGACAAAUCAAAGGUUUAAUUAAAGGUAAAAAAAAAAAAAAAAUUUACAACAAAAAAUUAUGGUGAAAUGAUAAGUAUUCUUUCAUCGCAAAAUUGAGGUUGGAGUUAUGAAAAUGAAAUCAUCUUUAGUAGAAAAUCACUUUACGAAAUAGAUUUUUUUGCAAAUUCGCCUCUGCUCAAAGCGGGUGCCAAACAAGUAAAAAUGGAUGGAACGACUAUUCCAAAAAUAAAUUUUUAUUUUUAUUUGUUGUUUUUAACAUAUCGAGAGAUCAAUUAUUCUGUCCGUUUACUCAACAAUAAUACUUAUUUCUAAAACCAUCCAUCUAUUAUACUUAUUUCUAAAACCAUCCAUCUAUUAAUAUGAGUAUUGUGACAAAAUAAUCACUCCAUUCGUUUAAAAAUUGGUGACCCUUUUUAUUUGACAGCCCAUAAGAAAAUAUUUAUAGGAAUUUAUUUUACAAAAUUAGUCUUAUUAAUUAUACUUUGAAACUAUAAAUUUGAGUAAAUACAUUUUGUAAUAUUGAGGGUAGCAUUGGAAGAACAUAAUAAAAUACUCCUGAUUUCAUAAAAGGGACAAUUAAAUUGAAACAAAUAUUUUUAGAAAGAGGGUCAACUAAAAUGAAACGGAGGAAGUAUAUUAGUUACUCCAUCCAUUUAAAAAAGAAUAACUUUUCGUUUUAGUCAAUUUAAAAAAGAAAUGACCCUUUUCUAUUUUGGCAACACUUUAACUUCAACUUUUCACGUGACACAUUUAAGACAACAAGAUUAAAGGUCAUUUUGAUACAUCUGACAUAACUUUAAUUCAAGACUACAAAAUUCAAAAGUUUCAUUAUUUUCUUAAGGCAAAAUGACUCAAUGACCUUUGUACUAUGUCCGUUUUGUAACGUGGAUAUGCCUACUUACAUGUUUGUCAUCUGCACCUUUGAACCCACUAAAAAGCAACAUUUUAAGCACUUUUUUGGAGAGUGUAAACACACUCGCCCCACGUCAGCUGCCAUGUCAGCUUCCACAUCUGUCAUGUCAGCUUCCACAUCAUUCUCAAGUAUUACAUUAAAUUUCAGGUCAUUUUUUAAAAUCUGCAUAAGAAAUUAAAUAUUAAAAAUAAAUUUAAUUAAAUAAUUUUUUGUAUAAAUUGUAGAAAAAUUUAAAUAAUCAUGUUUUUAUUUUUGCUCACAAAUUAAAUAUCAAAUUCAUUCCAAAUAAUUAAAAUUCUUCUCCAACUAAUUUAAAUUUUUAACUAUAAAUUCAAAUAUACAAAUAUAAUGAAUUUUUUAUUUUUAAAUUUGAAUAUCUUUAACAAAUUCACAAAAACUAUAAGUUUUUUCAAGUUUAUUCAUGAAAUUCACUAAUUUUUCAACAUCCACUAUCACUCACUUUCAAUUUAAGUUUUAAUUUUAAUCCCCCAAAAAUAUGAAAUAAUUUCAAAUUUAAAUUUUAAUCCAAAAAAAAAAAAGAUAUGAAAAGAUUUGAAUUUAGAGAAAAAAUUAAAAAAUAAAAUAAAAAGUGAGGGGUGAGGGUGCUGGACGGGACUGAAGUGGGGAAGGGGGCUGGACAGUGAUGGGGUAGGGGUGGCUGGAUGGGGGGAGGGNNNNNNNNNNNNNNNNNNNNNNNNNNNNNNNNNNNNNNNNNNNNNNNNNNNNNNNNNNNNNNNNNNNNNNNNNNNNNNNNNNNNNNNNNNNNNNNNNNNNNNNNNNNNNNNNNNNNNNNNNNNNNNNNNNNNNNNNNNNNNNNNNNNNNNNNNNNNNNNNNNNNNNNNNNNNNNNNNNNNNNNNNNNNNNNNNNNNNNNNNNNNNNNNNNNNNNNNNNNNNNNNNNNNNNNNNNNNNNNNNNNNNNNNNNNNNUGGGGGAGGGGGGCUGAGGGGUGGGGUGGGGGUGGGGUUGGCUAGACGGAGGGAGGUAGGAGUAUUUUUAUUGAGUUGAAGGGUCCGAAUGAUAUACAUGUAAGUAGGAGUAUUUAUAUUACAAAACGGACAUAGUACAAAGGUCCAUCGAGCCAUUUCAGAGAGUUCAUCCGAAUCAUCUUCGACAAAAAAUUAUACUGUUUAUACAUGAUUAAAAUUAUUUUUUAUGUAUAUAUAGUUGAUGUUGAAUCCCAUUCAGCCCGUUAGUACUGACUGUGCCACGUUUAAAGUGGAUAAAUAAAAGUCAAUAGAGGGACCAUGAGAUAAUAACAACAGAAACAAAGGAUAAUAAGUAUGCUUUAUAAUUUAUCAAACUUAGUGCGAACUGACAAAGCCAACGGUAACUUAAACUUUAUUUAUUUAUUUUUGUUCCAAACCGUUGUGUCCCCCAAAAGUUCUCCAUUAUCAUCAUGUUCAUAGUUCAUAAUAAUAUUCAUAGUUUCCUUCAUUGAAUUAAAAAAAAAAAAUGAAGUGCUUUUCAACUUGUUUUCGUACUAAUUCCAAUCAUAAGAAAAUCAGCAUAAAAUCAUGUAGUACUACUACCAAGAUUAAUAGCAUCUCCCCUCAAGCUCUCCAGGUACGUAAUAAUAAUAAUAAUAAUUACUAUUAUGAUAUCGGAGUUAUAAUUUCGAGAUCAAGAAAAUUCUGUUGAUUAAAAGGAAGUUGUUAGGUACCCGUGAGUGUCAUGACGUGGUUGCUCACAUUUACUUUAAAUCGGAUUUUAAUACCAACACGAUCACUUUAGUUAGUUGUUUCGUUAUUGGUAUAGAUUCUCUUUUUAAAAAUUCAAUUGACUACUGCUAACAGACGAUAAAAAAUCUGGUUAAGAAAUUCAGUUGACUGAGAGGAAGCUUAUUGGUUGUUUGAAUUUGAAGUUUAAUUAACUUCUCAUGCUUUUAUUUUUCUAAAGGAUUUGCUCGAGACUUGCGAAAAUGGUAACAAAGAUGAAGCUCAGGACGAGGAGAUUGUGAAAUCCAUUACCCUCAUUGAAAAAUCGAAGUAAGUUUAAUUUUUUUUAAUUGUUAUUAUUUUCUUUUUUUGAUUUUGAAAAGAUGCAAUAUGUGUUUUUAAUUUUCAUAAAUUUGAACAAAGCAGAGAUAUAAGUAGCAGAGAGAAUUUUCUUGAGUUCGAAGAAAAUGGUGAAGUUUUUGUUGAAGCCAUUGAUAUUAAAAAAGAUGAAGCUAGGUACAAGAUUGUGAACUCCAUUAACCUGUUUGAAGAAUCCAAGUAAGCUUUUUUCUUUUUUUCAAAAAAGCGUAAUGGUUAAAAAUACACCCGAAAUAUCAUUUUUUUCGCGAGUUUCACACAUCAAAAUAUCGUGAAUUGUCUUAUGUACGUAUUGAAACACACCUCGACUGUCAGUUGUGUUCCCUUUUUUCUACAUAAACGAUGGUGAUAGUUCUAAUGGAAAACAGAACAAACAACUAAUAGUUGAGGUGUGUUUUUUAAUACGUAUGUAAUGAUAGUUCUUGUAGGGUGUAAAACUCGUGAAAAAAAUGAUAGUUCAGGUAUGUUUUUGACUAUCAACUCUUAAAAUACACCUGAAAUAUCACUUCUUCGCGAGUUUCACACCUCAAAAUAUCCUGAAUUGUCUUAUGUACAUAUUAAAACACACCUCGACUGUCAGUUGUGCUCCCUUUUUUCUACAUAAACGAUGGUGAUAGUUCAGAUGGAAAACGACUGAUAGUUAAGGUGUGUUUUAAUGCGUCUAUAAUGAAAGUUCUGGUAGAUGUUAGAGUGUAAAACUCGUGAAAAAACAUUGUUCAGGUGAGUUUUUGACUAUCUAUAUCUUAAAAUACACCUAAAAUAUCACCUUUUCACGAGUUUCACACCUCAAAAUAUCAUGAACUAUCAUAUAUAUAUGUAUUGAAAUACACCUCGACUAUCAGUUGUGUUCCUUUUUUUCUACAUAAACUAUGGCGACAGAUAGUUCAGAUGGCAAACAAAACGACUGAUAGUUGAGGUGUGUUUUAAUACGUAUGUAAUGAUAGUUCUUGUCGGGUGUAAAACUCAUGAAAAAACGAUAGUUCAUGUGUGUUUUUGACUAUCAACUCUUAAAGUACACUUGAAAUAUCACUUUUCGCGAGUUUCACACCUCAAAAUACCAUGACCUAUCAUAUAUAUAUGUAUUGAAACACACGUCUAAUAUCAGUUGUGUUCCCUUUUUUCUACAUAAAUGAUGGUGAUAGUUCAGAUGGAAAAAAGAACAACUGAUAGUUGAGGUGUGUGUUUUAGUACGUAGAUAAAGAUAGUCCUGGUAGGAAAAGGUAACAAUCGAGUGUUAGGGUGUAAAACUCGUAAGAAAACGAUAAUUCAGUUGUGCUUUUGACCAUCAACUCUUAAAAUACACUUGAAAUAUCACUUAUUCGUUUCACAACUCAAAACAUCCUUAACUGUCUUAUGUAUCUAUUAAAACACACCUCGACUAUCAGUUGUACUCCUUUUUUUAUACAUAAACGAUGUUGAUAGUUCAAAUGGAAAACAGAACGACUGAUAUUUAAGGUGUGUUUUAAUACGUAUAUAAUGAUAUUUUUGGUAGGAAAGAUAAAAAUCGAGUGUUAAGGUGUAAAACUCGUGAAAAAACGAUAGUUCAGGUGUGUUUUUGACUUAUCAACUCUUAAAAUGCACCUCAAAUGUCACUUUUUUUCUCGAGUUUCACACCUCAAAAUAUCCUGAAUUGUCUUAUAUAUGUACUAAAAAAGCACACCUCAACUAUCAGUUGUGUUCCCCUUUUUUCUAGACAAACAAUGGUUAUAAUUCAGAUGGAAAACAGAACAACUGAUAGUUGAGGUGUGUUUUAAUAUGUGUAUAAUGAUAGUGCUGGUAAGAAAAGGUUGCAAUCUGAGCGUUAGGGUGAAAAACGAUAGUUCAGGUGUUUUUGACUAUCAACUCUUAAAAUACACUUGAAAUAUCAUUUUUUGCGAGUUUCACACCUCAAAAUAUCCUGAAAUGUCUGUCUUAUAUAUGUAUUGAAAUACACCUCGACUAUCAAUUGUGUUCCCUUUUUUCUAUAUAAGCGAUGGUGAUAGUUCAGAAGGAAAACAAAAUGACUGAUAGUUAAGGUGUGUUUUAAUACGUAUAUAAUGAUAUUUCUGGUAGGAAAAGAUACAAAUCGAGUGUUAAGGUGUAAAACUCGAGAAAAAAAGACAGUUCAGGUGUGCUUUUGACUAUCAACUCUUAACAAAUUAUUCAUUUUUGUCCGUCUUGGCUCACUCAAAUCAUUCGAAAAAACAGGAAAAAUGAGGAAGAUGAGUUGCAUACAAGCUUCAGAAAGAAGGUUACAUUUGACCUAAACAUAUCGAUAAAUCAAGUUUGUGCAAAUUACUCGGAGAUCAGUCCGAGCAAUUUGCAGAAACAAAACGGAGAAGAAAAAGAAGAAGCGAACGAGCUUUCGAAUUCAAGUGUGUCAAGCUAUAUAUCUUAUCCUCCAAACCAUAGAUAUCAUUGCUGCAGAAAUAGUACUGCUGAUGAAUUCGAUGAUAUUGAUCUCGACGAUAAUGAGGAUGUUGAGUGUCCUCGAAAUGGACUAAUGUUUCAAGAAGAGUCGUCAUCUAACGAAUCAUUAUUUUCGCUCUCCAUAGACUCUACUAGGAGAGGAAAUAAUCAUACAAUAGAAAUAGAUGAAAAUAUGGAGGUCAAUAGUCCAUUGAAUCCAACACGAAAUCUGAGUCUACUGAAAGAUACUGGCGUUACAACAACAACGUCUCCAUCACUGUUGAAGACGAUGAAUCAACAAGAGAAGAACGUUGAUGUGAAUAUCCUAGAUUAUUGUAUCACGUAUGAUCAACGCGUACAAAAAGAGUCUAAUUUGAAGUGCCAGGAGAAUGAAGUAGUCGCAGUUGAUACCAGUCUUUCGAGUCAACUGAAAGACACAGGCAUUACAACAACGUCUCCCUCACUGUUCAAGACGAUGAAUCAACAAGAGAAGGAGAACAUUGAUGUGAAUAUCCUAGAUUAUUGUAUCACAUAUGAUCAAUGCGUACAAAAAGAGUCUAGUUUGAAGCGCCAGGAGAAUGAAGUAGUCGCGGUUGAUACCAGUCUUUCGAGCUGGUUAGUCCAAUCUUCUCAAGACGACACGCCAAAUUCCAAAAACAGCGGUGGUUCUGUCGGAAAUUUGCCUGUCGAUAGACCAAUUUUGGGAGCAUUGAGACUCGAAGAGUUAAAAGAUGAAAAGAACAGUGCAAUAGGGACUAUUGGAAGCUAUUUGAGACAUACAGGACAGCAGGCUACUGGCAUUUCAUCUUACUGAGGCGUUUCGUCGAGGAAAAUAGCAUGCGCGCUCCCAAGAGGAGGCGCGUUUCAUGUGUUAUGUUAAGUUUGUAUUGUUAUUUCAUAUUUAACUGUAAAAUAGUUUUAUAGAUAGUCUAAUAUAACAUAUUUGCUUACAUGAAAUUUACCUUUUAACUUAGGUACCACUGCUAUUGUCCCUUGUUUUUUUCGUUUUCCCGCCCGAUGUCAUGUACCUGUUUUAUGCACGACUAAUUUGAAUUUGCACAAAAAAUUUGUGAGUCUGUCGAGAUAUAUAAUUAGCUCUUGAUACAUUUUUUUUUAUUUUGAGUCUGUCGAGGUGUAUAAUAUAUCCAAGGAAGAUAUAUUUUUUCCUUGUAAAGAUCCAUAAUUAGCUUUCGAUACAUUUUUCUCGAUUUUUAGUCUGCCGAGAUACGUAAUAAAUCCAACGAAGAUAAAUUUUUUCUUGUAAAGAUAUACUAUUAGUUCCCGAUAUAUUUUUUCUGAUUUUGAAUCUGUCGAGAUACAUAAUACAACUAAUGAAGAUACAUUUUUCCUAGUAAAGAUACAUAAUUAGCUUCCGAUAUAUUUUUCCAAUUUUGGGUCUGUCAAGAUACAUAAUUAGCUCCGUGAUACUUUUGUAAUUACUUUAUAAGGGUAGAAAUUUGUAUAAAUAUGGAAAGUUAAGGUGUAUAUUUAUGUUAUUUAAUUUUUUCUAUUUAUAUAUGUACUUACACAGAAAUAUACAGCUAAAUAAAUUUAAGUAUAACAUAUUAAAUUAGUCAUACAAAGACUUUUGGAUUUGGAAAUAGUCUUCACUCUUGUCUUUAAUUUGAUAAAUAUAUACUACUUGGUUUAAUAAUAUUAGUAAUAAUAUAAGUAGCAUUAGAGUGAACUUUUGUCAAUAUCUCCUAAUUAUUGAAGUUUAAUGGUGCGAUUGCUCUUCAAAUGAAAGGGAAACAACUGAUGAGGUUGACAACUAUAUAUUAUAUCAAAUUAUUAAUUUUCUUAAAUUAAAGUCAAAAUAGAAGUUGAUUAAAUAUUUAUAUGUCACCUACUUUUCCUUAUCCUUAAUUUUAGAAAUCAACUAUUUACACGUCAAGCCAAUAUAUGCAUGCCAUGUGUUUGAAUUUAGAAUUCGUGUUACUUAAUCAUGAUUAAUUAACAUGUAUGUUAUUUAAUUUGAUCACUUAAUCAUGGUAAAAAAUAUUAAUUUGAUGUAUACACUGACUGCAUGUAAGUUUUUACCUUCCUUCUGUCCCAUAUUUAUGUGACUCUGGUUUGACACAAUGUUAAAGAAAGAAAACCUUUUGAAAUUUGUGGUCUAAAUAAAUCAGACAUUGGUGUAACUAUGAAUUAAUCUCAGUAAAGAUAAAAUAAGAUUUCUAAAGCUAAAUUAUUUCUGAAGAUAGAAAUAUGAUCUUUUCUUUUUGGACAAAUCAAAAAGAAAAAUCUAUCUGCUAGAAAAAAUAAUAAUGAAUUUGAUCGGCUAUCUACAUACAGAUCCUCAAAUAAAUAGAGAAAGUAACAAAUUAUAUAUGUUGUAAUAAUUGAGGUAUAACAAAUUAAUCCGAACACCAUCAUUAUAAAAAAUUUAAAAUUUGUGGUCUAAUAUAAAUAUUAGACAUUAGUGUGACUAUGAAUUAAUCUCAUUAAAGGUAAAUUAGAUUUCUAAAGCUAAAUUAUUUCUAAAUAUAAAAAUAAUAUGAACUAUUUUUUUGGACAAAUCAAAAAGAAAAAUCUAUCUGCUAGCAAAAAAUAAUGAAUUUGAUCAGCUAUUUAAAUACAGAUUCCCAAAUAAAUAUAGAAAGUAACAAAUUAUAUCUGAUGUAAUAAUCGAAAUUUAACAAAUUAAUCCGAAAACCACCAUUAUAAAAUUUUUUUUUACAACUUGUACUAUAAUAAUAUCUGUGCAUUUUUUUUCUCUCUCUCUCUCUUGUGUCCAUGUUCUUUGUAAGCUAAACCUCUCAAUCUUUCUUUCUAGACAAAAUUUUGUUAGUUGUCCACCUCUACUUCUAUUACCAUUUUUCUCUUUCAUUUUCUAUUUUUUCCAAAAAAAAAUUCUUCUCUACCUCUUUGAUUAUCCAAACAAAUCAAUUCCAACAUUCAAACUACAAAUAGAGAAAAAAAACAAAGAGAGAGAGAGAAAAACAAAUUAAAGGUUUUUUUUUUCAAGUCCUCUAGGCAUUUUUCGCCCAUCAUAAUCUCAUAUCAUAUAUAUUUUUUUCCCUUGAUUUCUUCUUUUAUUUGUUCUUCAUAUAUGCAUGCUUUUUUUGCAUGCAUAUAUAUAUAUAAGAAAAAAUAAAUAAAAGUUGAAGAUAUUAAUGGAGAAUCCAAUUAAAAUGAGAUAGAAAAAGCUUAUAUCCUUUAUCAUCACCUUUGUUUAUGCAUGGCUUAAGCAUUUAUCUUAAAAGGUAUUACAAUUAUUAUAUUAUUCAAUUCCAUUUCUUCUUUUCAUUAUUUUCAUUUUUGUUUCUUUUGUCAAUAAAGAAUUCAUUAACUUGUUUGGAAUUGAGGCGUUGUUUUUAUGGUCAAUGUAGAAUUCUUUCCUCCCAACUUGGGAUUUAAGAAAAAAAAUGCAAAAAUUUGACCCAUGCAAAAAUUCCAUUUACCAUAAUGUCGUGGUGAAUGAAUGGAAUAUUGGGCUCCCUAGAAGGUCUGGACAAUCCUUCUUCUUUUGAGCUGGUUUUUACGGUGUGAGUUGGCGCAAUGUAGACCCCCUAGGUGACCAUAAAAUUGUGGGGUGGGAAAAUACCCUUGGUCCAUGAAUGUGCACGUACCAGACCAGAUAGUGGAACCUCAGAUAAAGAAUGUCUUGAUUCGGGCGUGUGUGGGUGAUGAAUGGAACCCUAGGAUCGUAAUAAGGUUUGAGCAAUCAUCCUCCACCAUUUAAGCUAACUUUUGGGGCGCGAGUUAACCUCAGGCCACAAUUUCGAAACUUCUUUACAAUUUGAAUAUCCUUAGUAAAAUUCUGACACCGUCACUGCGACCUCAACCCUAGGAUCGUUAUAAGGCUUGGGUAACCACAAUUUCGAAACUUCUUUACAAUUUGAAUAUCCUUAGUAAAAUUCUGACUCCGUCACUGCGACCUCAACCCUAGGAUCGUUAUAAGGCUUGGGUAAUCAUCCUCCGCCCUUUAAGCUAUCUUUUAGGGUGCGAGUUAACCCCAAGACACAAUUUCAAACUUCUUUACAAUUUCAAUACCGUUUAGUAAAAAAUAAAAUUCUAACAAAAGCUCCUUUUUUUUUUUUUGGUUAGGCAAAGGAAUCAGUUCUUGUCAUUGGAGUGGUCCUUCUAUCCUUGUUCUAUUUCAUAUCUAUUAUUAGCCUUUUGGGCCUUUACAAUCUAUACAAUGGCAACCAAAGUGAAGGGGAUUUACAAAUAUAUCACAAAUAUUUUUGGUAAUCAUUUUUUCCCCUUCUUUAGAAGUGUGUUUUCUUGAUAUUUUGGUUAAUUUUUGGAGGUUAAAAGUGAAAUAAUUAGUUUGUAAAUUUACAGUUGUUAAUAAGGAGAGGGAGUUGGAAAUUGGAUGUCCAACUGAUGUUAAACAUGUGGCACAUAUUGGUUGGGAAGGUCCCUCUGGAGGUGCACCUACUUGGGUAUGUUACCUUUUAGCUAUGCAAAAAAUUUAUUUGCACUCGAUGUUUAAUUUGCAUGAAACUAAGGAAUGUAAGAUGUUAUGUAUUUUUACUCGAGUUUGUAACUCUUAAAGUUGUCUCCGUGAGACCUACCGAUCACGAGUUUGACCUGCUAAAUCGGUCGUCGGUCGCUAAUGCUUGUGUCAGCAUAGGCUGCACACAUUACACCCCGUGGGUUGUAGCCCUUCACCGAGCUAUUAAAUGGAUCGUGUUGCUUUGAAGAGGCAGACGGAACUUUUUUUAAGUCAUAUGAGCGAAAAAACAAAAAAAAGAGAAUUUUUUGACAAUUUUUCGUGUAUGUUAGCUUAUGAAUUGAUGGGAGAUGUUGGCGUCCGAAUGGUUUUUGGGCAAAAAUUUCUCAAGUGGGCUCGUGAUGACGACCUAUUAAAUGGAUCAUGUUGCUUUGGAGAGACGGACAGAGCUUAGAUCGUGUUGCUUUGAAAAGGCAGACGGAACUUUUUUUAAGUCAUAUGAGCGAAAAAACAAAAAAAUGAGAAUUUUUUGACAAUUUUUCGUGUAUGUUAGCUUAUGAAUUGAUGGGAGAUGUUGGUGUCCGAAUGGUUUUUGGGCAAAAAUUUCUCAAGUGGGCUCGUGAUGAUGACCUAUUAAAUGGAUCAUGUUGCUUUGGAGAGACGGACAGAGCUUUUUUGUGGCAUAUGAGUGAAUAAAACUAAAUAUUGAGGAGUUUUUCUGAUUUUGUGUUUUUUUUUUUUUCUUUUGGUUUUCCAUCCUGCGUCCGGUACCCGCAUUGGACUCCGACUAAUCCGGAUUCGCGCCGCGUAGGGCCCCAUUCGGGGGGAAGCGCUCCCUACCAAGGAUUUUUCCAUACCCAGGGCUCGAACCCGAGACCUCUGUUUAACGGAGGAGCAGUCUCAUCCGCUGCACCACAUCCUUUGAUGGUGAUUUAUGUGUGUGUUGUUAGACUAUGUAUUGAUAGGGGAUGUGGGGUUAAUGAAUAAAUUUUGAACGAAACUUCUUGAGUGGGCUCGUGACGACCUUUUAAAUGGAUCGUGUUGCUUUGGAGAGACAGAGAAUUUUUUUGUGCAUAUGAUCCCUGUGUAAAUGCAGUAUGCUUCCUUCAUCGAGCUGACCUUUUUUAUUUUACUUCAGUUUGUGACUCUUAAAGUUGCCUUUGUAUGACCUAUAAAUUCAAGCGGUAGAAUCAAUAACUAAUGCUUGUGUCAGGAUAGGAAGCCGCUUAUAUUACAUCCCCUGGGGCGUGACCACUCCUCGGAUUCUGCAUGAACACGAGAUGCUUCAUGCAUUGAGCUAUCUCUUUUUCGUAACUCUUAUAAUUAAUUUGUUUGGAUUAUGUUAUUUCCUAUAUGCCUAACAGAUUAUUUUUUUUUUGAAAUUGAAGAUGAAAACAUUCAAGGCUGGGCCUGAAUUUGCAGCAACUUCUUUUGGUAACUCUGGGUCUGCUAUUUCUUCAUGGUCAUCUCAAGGUUAGUUUUGCUUAACAUCCUUUCUCCUUUUGCACGCGUGAUGUUCAGGUCAGCUUUUGGCAAAUCGACUAUUUUACGAGUACCUUUUACCUCCCAUCAAUACAAGUACUGAAUAACUCUGUCCAUCACGACUAAGACUUAACUAAAUAUGCUACACGUUACAAAUUCAACAUAAGUGUUUUUUCUUUUCUGUAAGAUUUUUUACCAUUCUUUGUCUAGAUUGUCCUAUCUUGAGCCGGGGGUCUAUCUGAAACAGCCUCUCUAUCUCACAUCUGAGGUAGCGGUAUGGACUGCGUACAGUUACCUUCCUCAGACCGCACUUGGUGGGAAUAUACUGGGUAUGUUGUUGUUAAGAUUUUUUAUGUCAGGAAAGGGAAAACUUUUUUGGCUCAUCUGUCACAAUAUAAGAUAUCUGUAACAUGACCCAAGAAAGAGACAGAACUUAUCUGUGAUGUCUUUGUCUAAAGUAAUGUUGGCUUGUAUGCAAGAUCUUUGACAUGUACUAUGGCCCCUAUUGUAGUCAUCACACAUUUAAAAAGGACAGCCCGAUGCACUAAAGCUCCCGCUAUACGCAGGGUCCGGGGAAGGGCCCUACGACAAGGGUGUAUUGUACGCAGACUUGCCUUGCAUUUCUGCCAGAGGCUGUUUCCAAGUCUUGAACCCGUGACCUCCUGGUCAUAUGGCAGGAACUUUACCAGUUACACAUUUGUGAAAAGAAAUUAGAACUUGAUUGAAUACGGCCCCUUAAACUUGCGAGUUUUUGACUUAGACACUCGUACUAAGACUUGUACUUAUCGAACAUCUGAAGUGAACGACAAUCUAAAAGUGAGUGUUUAUCCCUCGCUACCAUGUUAACACAUUGUGUUUAGUUGGCAUUGUCUUUAUAGAUGUUGAGUGUUUAAUAUCCACAAAUGCUCCUUCAGAGGCGAAUUCAGAAUUCAGAGUCUUAACGAAUAUUGAACUUGUUCGUUUGGAAUCUAGGUUCUUCUACUUCAUGUUUACAUUCUGACUAUAUACGCUUAUGACCUUCUGCGCACCUACUUAUGCAUAUACAAUAUACAAGACUUAACAACCCAAAAAGCAAACGAAUUCAAUUGAACCACCUCUGUAUACUACUCGUAUUUUACUUCAAUGCACACGCGUAUUUUUGACAGGUUGCGGAGAAUCAACAAGGCAACUAACAACAGCUAACAUUUACAAAGGCAUUUCAACUUCAGACGUUGCUAGUCCUCCGAAGAAACACAGACGUAGGAAGCCUAAGUCGACUACUUCCUCACCAA
rnacentral:lncRNA from 1 species